UUUACUUUCCUUUCGUUUGCUGGCUUAUAUAUGCCACUAGUUUCAGCCCUUAUAGGCAUGUAAAUCGUGUAUGGGUGAAACCCUAAGCUGCAUGUGGCGUUCUCUACCUACUUUCCCCUUUUGCUAGGGCAAUAUAAUCUCUCUCUGAGCUAAUUUUAGCCUCCGAAUUGAGUUGCUAUUCGCCCUAUUUCAUCCGUCAGUAACUCUGUUCCUAACACGGUGCCGGCGCCCUUGCCCGCACCAAAGCCAGUGCGAGGAGCAACAACACCACGACCCGUGUGAUCGCCGUCGCAACUAGCUUCGAUAGCGCCAGUCCGGCCCGCCCCUAGAGCGCCUCGCGCGGC
rnacentral:lncRNA from 1 species